GCCUGGUUGGCUCAGUCGGUUGAGCGUCCGACUUCUGCUCAGGUCAUGAUCUCCUGGUUUGUGGGUUUGAGCCCCACGUCAGGCU
rnacentral:tRNA from 1 species